GCUGACAUGCGUGAAAACAAAUCAAGAUGCCCGCCUUCAUGAACACGCCCACCUCGUCAACUAUCGUGGCCACCACCACCGUCUUGUUCAUUGGCAGCCGUGAGACUCAGAUCCAGAUGGGAAUGAAGGAAAAAUCAAUCUCAUCAAUGAUUUCUUUUUUUUUUUUGAAACUGAAUAAUAAUAAUACUAGGAGAGGCCCUGUUGGGUUAGCCACACGCGCAAGUCUCAAGUCACGCGAAAAACGAGCGCCUCGUGGAUACCAGCACUAGAACCUACGGCCUCAAGCUUCACAUGUUCAUCCCUAACCACUUCACCCGUAAGAGCCAUCAAAAUCUGCCACCACCACGAGCUUGUGCAUUUGCUCUGAAAUACAUACGUCAAUAUAAACCUCGUCACACUUGAAAAUUAUUCAUGCCUCCGCCAUUGUAGAGGACGAUCGAUCUGGGCAGCAGCACUCACCUGGCAGCCAAACAGAUUGCAGGCUCGGCGCCUCGCAACCUCGGCGGUAAGCUUCAGAGCUCAGACUCCUCUUAGGAAAGAUGAGCAAUAUAUAAUGAUUAUAAUCCCAGCACGUGUUCUACG
rnacentral:lncRNA from 1 species